UUACAGCCAUAUCACGUUUAACCACUGGUUCCCGUACGAUCACCGACGUUAAGCAACGUCGGACCUGAUAAAUAUCUAGAUGAGUGACUGCUUGAGAAUACCUGAUGCGGUAAG